rnacentral:lncRNA from 1 species
AAAUGUCAAAUCGAAGUCUAUCCAAAAAUCAUUCCUGAAAAAUAAAAUUAAUUUCAUAUUCUCUCUAAUCAUAUUCCUGUCACAUGCACAUAAAAUAUUCUAGCCCAUGAAACUUUUGAAAAGAGCAUGUACCAUUUCACAUUUUAGUUUGGAGAUUUAUUGAAAAAUAACAUUUUAUUUAGAAUGAAUAGAUUAUGACAGAUUAACAAGUGUCAAAAUGAUAUUUAUGUAUUUAUUUGAAUAGUCUAGUAUCAUAUACAUAAUUAAUUCUUCAUCUUUCAGAUACUGAAGAGAGUAAUGAGUGAGAACAACAUUAAAAAUAUAAAGUAUUUUCUUAAAAAAAAAAAACUUUGUUCUUUCCUCUAAAAACUGUCAAAUGGUAACAGCCCUACUUUCACGCCAGGAAAACCCACUGUUGAGUUAGUUGGCUCUGAUUCCAAUGGUCUCAUCAGCUUUCUGAACGUAGGUACCUCAGCAGUGCCUCUUCCAAGAUAACAAAAUGAACUUUUAGAGAUUAAAAAAAUACAUUUUGGCAAUUGAAACUCACCAGCGCCUUUCUGCUUCUCCAGGAAGUUGUACCCGUCAGCACCUGCUGAGGGCUUUGUUGUCCAAACUCUGACAGGUAAAAAAAUUCCUGUAGAAUAAAGCCAGACCAGCUGGCUUUGAAGAGAAACCCCCCAGUUUGGGCUGCGUUUGUCUCCUCUCCUUUUCUAUGAAGACCCAGGCUUUCCCCCCUUGAUCGUCAAGCCGUAAGAUGCGUGAUCCCUGUGCACAAGUGUCUGGCAGGCCGAGGUGCACCUGUUCCUGUCACUCUGGAGUAAAUUUAGCUGUAAAGGUAUCACUGACAACCAGACCUUUGUCAGAGCUGGCAAAAGAACACAGAACUGCUGCCCUCCCCCACCCCUUCCAAACCCCUUCGCUGCUCGUUCAAAUGGAAAAUGUCAAAUCGGAAGUCUAUCCAAAAAUCAUUCCUGAAAAAAUGAGAUUGCUUUCAUAUGGUAAAAAGGCACCACUUUCAGAUAAAAACAUAGACCUGAAUGGCAUCAUCCAGUAUCCAAGGAAACCAUGCACUGUGGUGUAUCCUGAGCAGGACCGAGACAAGGGUGUUUUUCUUAAGAGCCACUGA